rnacentral:rRNA from 1 species
UACGUAGGUGGCAAGCGUUGUCCGGAUUUAUUGGGCCUAAAGCAUCCGUAGCCGGUCAUGCAAGUCCUCCGUUAAAUCCACCUGCUUAACAGAUGGGCUGCGGAGGAUACUACAAGGCUAGGAGGCGGAAGAGGCAAGCGGUACUCAGUGGGUAGGGGUAAAAUCCUCUGAUCCAUUGAAGACCACCAGUGGCGAAGGCGGCUUGCCAAUACGCGCUCGACGGUGAGGGAUGAAAGCUGGGGGAGCAAACCGG